GACGAACGCUGGCGGCGUGCUUAACACAUGCAAGUAGAGCGGAGCGGCGAACGGGUGAGUAACGCGAGAGUAACUGCACCCCUCUCUGGGAUAACAGUUGGAAACGGCUGCUAAUACCGGAUAGUGGGGGAUGACGAGCGUCGUAUCAGUUUGUUGGUGGGGUAAUGGCCUGACCAGGCGACGACGUGUAGCCGGCCUGCGAGGGCGACGGGCCACAUUGGUCUUGGUUUCUGCCCUAACGCAUACGGGAGGAAUCAGGGGGGAAUAUUGCCCACUGGGGGAAACCCUGAUGCAGAAACGCCGCGUGCGGGAUGACGGCCUUCGGGUUGUAACCCGCUUUCAGCCAUGACGCGGUAGUGGCCGAAGAAGCACCGGCUAACUACGUGCCAGCAGCCGCGGUAAUAC
rnacentral:rRNA from 1 species